AUCCAGAUAGUUUAAUAAAAAUGUUGGCCUGUGAAUCCAAAGAUGUGUUUUAUGCUCUGGGUC
rnacentral:tRNA from 1 species